UUCUCUCUUUAUCUUUAUAAAACACAAUACAAAGACUUUCUAUUAGUUUUAAAGGAGGAUGAUAGCAGUGCUCACCUCAGGGUCACCAUGAGGUGAGGACUCUGCAAUGCAUGGCAUGGAGUGACAGAGAGAGCUUGGUCUAGAGUAGGCAGCUGCCAGCAUUGCUGCCCUAGUUGUCAAAGUGACUGGGAAGUCUUCCAGGGUGGAUGGUAUAAAGCGAUGGCCCCCACAUUCUUCCACUUCUGUUAAUGCAGAAGCGGCUGCACAAGCUCUUGUUCCCUCAGUAGCUGCUAGUGGGUCUUGUACACUCGCUAUUCUCAUAUUGUCAGACUGACACAGUUUACUUAAUUGUUACUCUUUUGGACAGCUAGUUAAAAGGUGGCCAGUUUUUCACUGAAACUAAUGGUUCUAGGAUGCACCUUGUCACAGGCUGCUCCUUUCCAGUUCGUUCUUCAGUGGCAAAUGGAAACCUGAUUAUUGAUGACUCUAUGUUUUGAAGGCUGUUUAUUAAGCUCCCCCUUUCUAUGCUGUCUUGUCUUCCAUACAUAACGCUUCAAGCCAGUUUUCUCUUGUGCCUAAUAAUUUUUUGUGUGUGUUUGCUUUGUUUACUACAAAGAUCUUGCCCCGAGUGGCUGCAGUUGGAGCUAAUGAGUUCCGGAGUCUGCCCAUGGCGAUGAACCCCAUCCUUUUCAGUAAUGUGCUUAGAGUCAUAGGCACUGUUUAAAUACUGACCACAGGCCGACUCAAGCCUUUCGCCUGAUUUUUGAGAGAAAACCCGCUUUGCUAACACACCCUUUACUAGAGAGCUGCCUUGCUUGUUUGCGGAAUGGUGUCCUGUUAACAAGGCUCUUUUUCUUCUUGGCUCUGUGAUAUUGCUGCCAUAGUCUUUACCAGUCAUUCUGAAUAUUCAUUAUCUCUCCUCGUUGUGAACUGAGAUAGGAUUCUGUCUCCUGUUGCAGAGUUUAGGAGGAAACUGUAAAUACGCCCUGCUGGCUCUUCAGCUGAGCUGGCCUGCCCUGGCCUGAAAUGACUUUGUUGAGCUCGCCAGCCAAAGUGCACCUGUUGCUUCAGAAAUGGAAAAGGGAGGGCCGUUUACUCGCAGUGGGUCCUGGGUAGUUUUCAGUUGCCCAAUCCCGUAAUAAAAGCUGGCAGAGUCUGCUCUAACAACUCUUCUGUUUUUCACAGCUUUGAUGACUAUAGUUUAUUGAUUUGCCUUUGUUCAGGAAAGCUUCAUUUGGAAUGCAAAUUACAGGAUAGGUAAAUGUGUGCCUCCUGCUGGGUAGAGCUAGGCAUGAAGGCUCACCAGAAUACCAGGAAAUUGUCUCUGCUGCCUCCAUAGGGAAAGGGUACCAGGAAGGAAAUUACUGAAGGACUAGGCACCGCUUGUCAUAGGUGACAAGAUCAGAAUUCUCUCUCCAGUCUGUGCGCCAGCCUUUUAAAACAUUUGUGUUAAUUCUUUGAGAGUUUCAUACACUAUUUUGAUUAUAUUCAUUCCCCUCCCCCAGUUCCUUCCAGAUCCCCAUUUCAUACCCACCCAACUUUGUGCCCUCACUAAAAC
rnacentral:lncRNA from 1 species